rnacentral:rRNA from 1 species
UGCAGUCGAGCGGAUGAAGGGAGCUUGCUCCUGGAUUCAGCGGCGGACGGGUGAGUAAUGCCUAGGAAUCUGCCUGGUAGUGGGGGAUAACGUCCGGAAACGGGCGCUAAUACCGCAUACGUCCUGAGGGAGAAAGUGGGGGAUCUUCGGACCUCACGCUAUCAGAUGAGCCUAGGUCGGAUUAGCUAGUUGGUGGGGUAAAGGCCUACCAAGGCGACGAUCCGUAACUGGUCUGAGAGGAUGAUCAGUCACACUGGAACUGAGACACGGUCCAGACUCCUACGGGAGGCAGCAGUGGGGAAUAUUGGACAAUGGGCGAAAGCCUGAUCCAGCCAUGCCGCGUGUGUGAAGAAGGUCUUCGGAUUGUAAAGCACUUUAAGUUGGGAGGAAGGGCAGUAAGUUAAUACCUUGCUGUUUUGACGUUACCAACAGAAUAAGCACCGGCUAACUUCGUGCCAGCAGCCGCGGUAAUACGAAGGGUGCAAGCGUUAAUCGGAUAUACUGGGCGUAAAGCGCGCGUAGGUGGUUCAGCAAGUUGGAUGUGAAAUCCCCGGGCUCAACCUGGGAACUGCAUCCAAAACUACUGAGCUAGAGUACGGUAGAGGGUGGUGGAAUUUCCUGUGUAGCG